GACGAACGCUGGCGGCGUGCUUAACACAUGCAAGUCGAACGGAAAGGCCCUGCUUUUGUGGGGUGCUCGAGUGGCGAACGGGUGAGUAACACGUGAGUAACCUGCCCUUGACUUUGGGAUAACUUCAGGAAACUGGGGCUAAUACCGGAUAGGAGCUCCUGCUGCAUGGUGGGGGUUGGAACGUUUCGGCGGUUGGGGAUGGACUCGCGGCUUAGCAGCUUGUUGGUUGGGUAGUGGCUUACCAAGGCUUUGGCGGGUAGCCGGCCUGAGUGGGUGACCGGCUACAGUGGGACUGAGAUGCGGCCCAGACUCCGGCGGGAGGCAGCAGUGGGGAAUAUUGCACAAUGGGCGGAAGUCUGAUGCAGCAACGCCGCGUGCGGGAUGACGGCCUUCGGGUUGUAAACCGCUUUCGCCUGUGACGAAGCGUGAGUGACGGUAAUGGGUAAAGAAGCACCGGCUAACUACGUG
rnacentral:rRNA from 1 species